GACACAACGGAGCAACUAACACACACACAUACACACACACAAACACACAGCUGAUUUAUAGUGUUUCAGGUGUACACCAAAGUGAUUCAGAUAUAUAUAUAUAUGUAUAUACAUAGCCUUUCCAAAUUUUUUUACAUUACAGGGUAUUAUGGGAUAUUGCAUAUAGUUCUCUAUGCUAUACAGUAGGUCCUCAUUUAUAAUUUUAUAUAUAGUAGUGUGUAUCCAUUGAAUCAAUUUUUAAAUGUAAAUUUUAAGCAGGUGCUUUGUACAGUUUUAUAUCCUGAUUUUUAAAUUUAAUAAUAAAUUGCAACUGUAGUAGAUCCUUGGUUAUCUUUUUUUUUUUUUUUUUCCUAAAAGAUCCGUGGUAUCUGCAGGAGAUUGAUUCCAGGCCCCCAGUGGAUACGAAAAUCCAUGGAUGCUCUAGUCCCUUGUAUAAGAUAGUACAGUACAGUGGGCCCUGUCUAUCUGUGGGUCUCUACAUGUGGGUACAGAGAGCUAACUGUAUUUUCCCAUGUCAUUAAAAUUUAUUCAAAACAUAAUUUACAUGACAGUGCUGUGCUGCCAUGUCCAUCUUAAGUUUUUGUGCAUAUUUGCGAUCAUUUUAUCAGGGUUUAUUUUUAGAUGGAGUUCUAUUAUUUUUGAGUCUUGAUUUAAGAACAGUUACGCUACAGCAAGUUUUAAGACCUUUUGGGCAGUCUAUAAUGAAAAAACAUUAUUUUUUUGUAAAAUUUUUAUUUAUGAACUUGGCCAGAUAAAUUACAUUUACGUAUCGAAAUCUUUCAUUCUGUUAGAAUUUUAUUACUUAGUGAAGAUGUUUAACUUUACCCUUCCCAAGUUUCCAUUUUAUGGAGGAGGAAAUGGCAUAGUGUACUGUUGUCUAGCGGUUUGAUUAUAUCAGAAGCAAAAAAGAAAUCAAACACUUGAAAUUUCUGAUAUCAUUUGGGUAUCAGAAUUUGGAUAUUAUUAGUGGAGUUGCUUGAUUAUUGCGGAAUGGUUCUGUUUUCAUUUUAAUGUCAUGUACAGAUACCUGUCUCUCUCUUUUAAUUUUUAAAUUGAAGGAUAAUUGCUUUACAGAUACCUGUGUCUUUAUUCUUAGUUUGUAACUCAUACGUUUGGACUUUGAAUUGGUAUGCAGGGAACCUACAGUAUUUAUGUAGUCAUUCACUACAUACUUGACCAGUUCUCUUUACUACCCUAACAUUUGUAGGUAAAAGCAGGAGGUUUUGUUUCUUUUUCUUCCUGAAGCACUGAAGUCAUGUCUUUUUGUUAUUCUAGCAUUAAGAAAUAGUCUUUAUUCCUUUUCCGGUAAGCGGCCUGAGCUGACCCCUAAAAAUGGUGCGCUAUUCACUCGACCCAGAAAACCCCACAAAAUCAUGCAAAUCAAGAGGUUCAAAUCUUCGUGUUCGCUUUAAGAAUACUCGUGAAACUGCCCAGGCCAUAAAGGGUAUGCAUAUUCGAAAAGCCACCAAAUGAAAGAGCGUCGUGUAGGGCAAGAGUGUAUAUCUC